rnacentral:lncRNA from 1 species
AUCACACUAACACUAUAAAAACAAUUCUGUAAACAAGCAAUUUAGGCAAAAAUAUAAAGCAUAUAAAAAAUUAAAUAUACAAACAAAAACCAACUAAGCUUCUGUUACUUUCUCAUUUUCAUUCUCUUUCCCUUUCUAACUUUCACCAACUUCCUUUGCUUUUCAAUACUAAAACAAUAAAUCAAGUUAGAAUAUCAAAAUAAACAACUAAAAAAAUCCAAAAUCUAAUGAAAUAAUGCAAUUUGAUAUAGUGAAACACUAAUUUCACUUUUUGGACCACCUAAGAGAACUUCAAUUUAAACCACCUCAAAUUGAAAUCUAAUAGUUUGCUAAUGGUUUAAAAGUCAUAAUCACUCUAAACCUCUCUUAAUUACAAGUAAGAACACCGAGAAUUUCUUCUCUCUCUCUUUAUAUAUUCACCUUGAUUCAAAAUUUCAAAAACUUACUUACCAAAUCUUAUAUUUCUUUGUUUUAAAAUUAUUCUAAACUUAAGAAUACUCCAAAUCUAAUCUAAAAAUCACUAAGAGCACAUCAAAGUCGAGUGCUUCCUCUCACUACCUCCUUACUAAGGUAAGUUGAAAGGAUGAGAAGAAAAUGAUGAAAUCUCAAAUUCAAGAAUUAAAUUGAUAAAUUAGUAGAAAUCCCAUUUACCUCAAUGAAUUUAAUGGAUUAAGAUCAAACUUCCUCUAUUGUCACUGAUUAAAGAAAGAAUGAAGAAUAUGAUGAAAUUGAUUUUCCUAGAAGAAAUUUGUAAGAGAUUGACUUACCAAACUGAAAUAAAUGAAUUAAAAUGAAGAUCUAUCAUGAAAUGAAAACCAACUCAACUAUCCCCUCUUUUGGCAUCCAUCAAAUGGUUCUUUUGGUCUUAUGCCCUUGGGCUACUUACCUCUUAAAACCUCUUACUAAUACUAAUCCAAGGUUUCACCUUAAGACAUUUGCCUCACAAAUUGUGUUUUUCUUACAAAAUAAUUCAUACUUCAAAUUCUAAUUUCUUUAAUACCAACCAAAUAAAGUUCAAAAGCAAAUUAUUACCCACAAAUAAAGAAUUAUAAAAUCAACUCGAUACCCAUUUUUAGAAACCUCUUGAUUUAAAUUCUUGAAAUCUUUCGAAUUGUCCAUUUCGACACAAAAUUGAAUUUUUUGACACUAAAAAAUUUCAAACCGUUACAUGAUUCCAAGUUUAAUUCAUUACCACAAGAUAAAAUUAUAUUUCAUGUCAUGUAGUACCCUUUCCAUGUCUAACUUAACUAUCCCCACUAAUAUUAUUAAUUAACUUAAGUUUCUUCUCUUGAUUUUUUUAUCACUAUUUUUCAUUCUUGGUAUAGUAACAUUAAUGACACCAAAAUUUUAAGGGUGUUAUAAGAUCUCUGUUAGAACUUAGACUAUUUGAAGACAUUUUAUAUGAUUAUUUUAGUGGAAUAAGCGAUUGUAAUUUAUUGAAAUUCAACAAGCUUUUUAAUUUUCAUAUAUUACACGACUUGUUUAGGUUAUAAGUUAAUUGUAACUUCUUCUGGAAGCACAAUACUUAUUCAUCUAAGAAUUUUUUCAGUUGAAAAUUUUGUAAGUAUAUUUGAUUCAAUCAAUCAAUUUACAUAUUUAAGCUUUCAAGAGGAAAACUUAGAGGUAGAGUAAUUUAAAUAAAAGUAUAGGUGUGAAGUUAUAAUUUAGGUGUGUGAGUUGAACACUAGUCAUCGUUGUUGAUAGUGCAUAGUAUAUUUUUGAAUCGAGUGAAAAGUUUUUUAGUGUCCAUAUUUUUUUUCCUUUUUAAAUAGUUAUUUCAUUCAAUUGUAACUAAGUGAAUAGUUUAAAAAAUAAAAACAAUGAAUUUACAAUUGGUAUCAAGGUGAGACACUUGAUGCGCUAAGCGGAUAUCUUGUUAAUUUUGUAUUGAAAAGGGAGGUGCUUUAGAGCUUGUUUAGUAGCACUUAAAAAAAACACUUUUGGUUCUAAAACAAAUUGUUUUUGGUUAAAAUUUUUAACUUUUUAGAAGCACUUUUGAAAAGGAGAAGUUAAAAUUUUAACUUUUCCUCUCCUAAAAGCACUAUUAAUACUUAAUUACUUUUUCACCCUUCCAAUAAUAUAGUGCUUUCACUUCUUUUUUUAUUGGUGACUAAUUACAAAUGUAUUAAAAUCAUUAAUUAAAAAUAAAAAAAUAUUUUUUAAAAUAAUACAAUUGUGUUAAUAUCUAAUUACAAAUAUUUAACGGUUAUAUUUAUAUAUUUCAAAUAUAAUUUAUAUAUUCUAAUUAAAUUUUAUAAAUAAUUAAUAUGUAUUGCUUAAAAAUAUUUAAAAUUUAUAUUUCAUAUAGUAAAAUAUUAAUACAAGUUAUAAUAAAUUUUUUUAUAUUCUUAUUAAAAUAUAAUAAUAUGAAUUAAUUUGAUCACUAUUUAAAUAAAUAUUUGUUACUUGAUAAUAACAUGUCUAAAAUAGACAUUUUAUUUUUCAAAAAUAUUUUUUGACAGUAAUACUAAAUACUCAAAUCUUAAAUCAAAAUUUUUAAAAAUAUUUCUCAAAAACACUUUUUCAUAACAUUUUUCAAAAACACUUUAUAAAAGCAUGGUUAAACUAACCUUAAUUACCAAACGCUGUAUGUUGGAUGUCUCCAAUUAUACUUGUACUAGAAAAAGUCAAGAAGAGGGCUUUCAUAAAGUCUAUGGAUAAAAAAAGCAUGACACUCAAUUCUAACACCUCCAACUAUUGAUCAAACCCGUACCAAUAAAUGUACCGUUUUCUAUUAACAUUCAUACAUACUAAGAUGUACCGUUUUGGAUUUAUUACUAUAUUUUAAAAAAUAUUUAAUAUAUAUUUAUAAAAUACAUGCAAAAUCAAACAUUGAAAUCACAAAUUCAUAUUCAAAAUCAAUAUCCAUUUUGGUCUAAAAUACCUGUAAAGCAUCAAUAUCCAUUUCUAAUUAUUUGAAAUACAUGAGCAAAAUACAACACAACCUGACAUCUAAAAUCAAUUCAUGAUUUCUCCUAUUUUGCCUCCAUGAAACCGUUUCUUCUAUUUCUUCUACUAAUGAAUGAAAAAUAAGUAACCACCGGAAUAAAAUAAAAGACUAGAAAAAGAAAGAGGAUCACACUAUCUAACAGAACACUAACCCUCAAACAGAAACAGGAUGCUGCAGAAGGAUGGAUGCUAACGAUGGCUUCAGAUACUAACCUUACAUAUGCUGCUUCCGUUACCGGCUGGGUGGCGGAGGAGCGGUAGUGAAGGGGCAGCUGGGUAGAGGCGCAAAAAUACAGAGGUACAGUGACAGACACGAUCGGGAAUUUGUCGGCCAAAUAUCAAUUUUGACCUUACAUUGAUUGUUAAGCCUUUCAUUAAGCAUUGGUUUGGUACCGCACGGUACCUUUAAUUCCACCGGAAUAGCCGAAAAUUACUGAAACAGCCCGAAACCACCGAAACAGAGCCGAAUUUCAAGUGAAACGGAAUUUACCCCUAAUCAUCCCGGUUGAGCACUGAAACAGAGCGUUCCACUUGGUACGGAACUGACUCUCGUGGUAAAGACUCUUACGCUUGUAUUGACUUGGACGAGUGACGAAAUGAAGUUGGCUAGUGGCAGCUUAAAGGCCCUUAAUGC